GACGAACGCUGGCGGCGUGCUUAACACAUGCAAGUCGAGCGGUAAGGCCCUUUCGGGGGUACACGAGCGGCGAACGGGUGAGUAACACGUGGGUGACCUGCCCUCAGCUCUGGGAUAAGCCUGGGAAACCGGGUCUAAUACCGGAUAUGACUCCAUGACGCAUGUUGUGGGGUGGAAAGCCUUGUGCGGCUGAGGAUGGGCCCGCGGCCUAUCAGCUUGUUGGUGGGGUGGGGCCUACCAAGGCGACGACGGGUAGCCGGCCUGAGAGGGCGACCGGCCACACUGGGACUGAGACACGGCCCAGACUCCUACGGGAGGCAGCAGUGGGGAAUCUUGCGCAAUGGGCGAAAGCCUGACGCAGCGACGCCGCGUGAGGGAUGACGGCCU
rnacentral:rRNA from 1 species